UUGACCUCAAAUCAGGUAGGACUACCCGCUGAACUUAAGCAUAUCAAUAAGCGGAGGAAAAGAAACUAACAAGGAUUCCCUUAGUAACUGCGAGUGAAGAGGGAAGAGCUCAAAUUUGAAAUCUGGCGGUUCUUGCCGUCCGAGUUGUAGUUUAGAGAAGUGUUAUCCGCGCUGCCUGUGCAUAAGUUUCUUGGAAAAGAACAUCAUAGAGGGUGACAAUCCCGUCUUUGGCACAGAUCCCAGGGCUUUUGUGAUACGCUCUCGACGAGUCGAGUUGUUUGGGAAUGCAGCUCUAAAUGGGUGGUAAAUUCCAUCUAAAGCUAAAUAUUGGCGAGAGACCGAUAGCGAACAAGUACCGUGAGGGAAAGAUGAAAAGAACUUUGAAAAGAGAGUUAAACAGUACGUGAAAUUGUUGAAAGGGAAACGCUUGAAGUCAGUCGCGUCCUCUAGGGAUCAAGUCAACUCUGGUUGACCGUACUUUCUAGUUGGAUGGGUCAGCAUCAAUUUUGAUCGCUGGAUAAAGGCCUUGGGAAUGUGGCAUCUUCGGAUGUGUUAUAGACCAUGGUUCUGAUACAGUGGUUGGGAUUGAGG
rnacentral:rRNA from 1 species